rnacentral:rRNA from 1 species
GACGAACGCUGGCGGCGUGCCUAAUACAUGCAAGUCGAACGCAGUGGGGACGGGUGAGUAACACGUGGGUAACCUCCCAUCAGAGGGGAUAACACUUGGAAACAGGUGCUAAACCGAUACUGAUGGAUGGACCCGCGGUGCAUUAGCUAGUUGGUGGGGUAACGGCUUACCAAGGCCACGUUGCAUAGCCGACCGGGAAGGGUGAUCGUGAACACUGGAACUGAGACACGGCCCAGACUCCUACGGGAGGCAGCAGUAGGGAAUUGGCGGCAAUGGACGAAAGUCUGACCGAGAAACGCCGCGUGAGUGAAGAAGGUUUUCGGAUCGUAAAACUUUGUUGUUAGGGAAGCGGUAUCUAACCAGAAAGCCACGGCUAACUACGUGCCAGCAGCCGCGGUAAUUC